rnacentral:lncRNA from 1 species
AUGGAGCAAACCGAGCCUCGGUGGCCUUUUCCCGUUCAAGCUGCGUGUGGAUGUCCCCACGCACCCUCGGACUCUGCCAAGGCUUGUUUGUUUCAGCUGUCGAUGGCUUGUUUCUUCUCAGCUUCAGUGCCCUCUCUUCAGAUCACGGUGGGUACCCUUGCUGCCUCGCGGGCUUCUGUCUCUGUUGGUGAACCCCAACCAAGCUUUGUGACAAGCAUCUCUCCCGACUCCCAGGUCACCCCCCACCCCUGUUCCCUGGGCCUGGCUCAUGCCCCGGGCACAACCAUGCUUCUCCCCGCACCUCGGGACAAGCCUGCCAGCCCACCAGCUCUUGGCGUGGCUGCAGUGGCUCUUGCCCAGGAUAAAGGGCACCCCUCUCCCCGGCUCCCCCCAUUCCUCACCGUGCAGCCCACACCCUGUAACAACAGCCCUUGUGUGUCAUAACUAGGUCAUGACCCUGCUCAGGCCACUUGUCGCCUCCCCGUUUCUUUCAUAUCCCUAGUGCUCUGUAUGUAAGACAGUUCGAUAUAUGCCUCCCCCCAAUAGCAAGGAUACAAGAGGCCUGUCAUUCUCCAAUGGUUCAGUUUGUAAAUGUCAGUUAAGAAAGAUGAGGAGUUCCCCUGUGGCUUAGGGGGUUAAGAACCUGACUAGUAUUCAUGAGGAUGUGGGUUCAAUUCCUGGCCUCGCUCAGUGGGUUAAGGAUCCAGUGUUGCUGUGAGCUGUGGCGUAGGCCACAGAUGCAGCUCGGAUCAGGCACUGCUGUGGCUGUGGUGUAGGCUGGCGGCUACAGCCCCGAUUCAACCCCUAGCCUGGGAACUUCCAUAUGCCAAGAGCAUGGCCUGAAAAAAGGAAAAAAAAAAAAAAAAAGAUGAGAUGAGAAAAGAUGCAAGGUCAGGAGUCCUACGGUAUCCUGCAGACUCUGACUUUCCCUCUGCCCUCGAGGAUCUACUAAAUAUUCACCUCCACAGUUGUUUUCCGAGCUCAAGGGAUUCCCUCUUAAUCAAUAAACAUUUCACAACCACACAAACACCAUUAGCUGAAAAUAUUAUUUUGGCUUAGUACGUGUCCUUGUUACAUCGUGGUUUAUAUCUGGAAAGGCCUCCGUAUGAUCAUUAUACAUGGAAGCAGUGAUGUCUCGCUAAUGCAGCAUCACAGGGACGGCUCCUGUACGGGGGGGCUCCAGGCCAUAGCAGUGACCUUCCUGGAUAGAUGAAAAUGACCUCCCUAAAGACCAGCCCUUUGAAAAGUUUCACCAUUUUUCCUGGAACUCUUAGUUUUCAAAACCAUAACAAAAACUU